rnacentral:rRNA from 1 species
GACAGAGGGUGCAAACGUUGUUCGGAAUUACUGGGCGUAAAGCGAGUGUAGGCGGUUUCAUAAGUCGGGUGUGAAAGCCCCGGGCUCAACCCGGGAAGUGCACUCGAAACUGUGAGGCUAGAGUAUCGGAGAGGUUGGUGGAAUUCUCGGUGUAGAGGUGAAAUUCGUAGAUAUCGAGAGGAACACCGGUGGCGAAGGCGGCCAACUGGACGAAUACUGACGCUGAGACUCGAAAGUGUGGGGAGCAAACAGG